ensembl:snRNA
UACUUAUAUAAAAGGAGAAGCUAGCACUCCCCUAACAGGAAUGGGAGAUGUUUUAAGAUGACCCAAAUAAUGCAUAUCUUGUCAAGGCACUGGCCAACUAUCUGGUGGCAUGAAACCAUGGUUGUAC